rnacentral:rRNA from 1 species
UACGGGGGGGGGCAAGCGUUGUUCGGAAUUACUGGGCGUAAAGGGCUCGUAGGCGGCCAACUAAGUCGGAUGUGAAAUCCCCAAGCUUAACUUGGGAACUGCAUCCGAUACUGGAUGGCUUGAAUCCGGGAGAGGGAUGCAGAAUUCCAGGUGUAGCGGUGAAAUGCGUAGAUAUCUGGAGGAAUACCGGUGGCGAAGGCGGCACCCUGGACCGGCAUUGACGCUGAGGAGCGAAAGCUAGGGGAGCAAACGGG